GUCUGGGAAACUGCCUGAUGGAGGGGGAUAACUACUGGAAACGGUAUCUAAUACCGCAUAANGUCGCAAGACCAAAGAGGGGGACCUUCGGGCCUCUUGCCAUCGGAUGUGCCCAGAUGGGAUUAGCUAGUAGGUGGGGUAACGGCUCACCUAGGCGACGAUCCCUAGCUGGUCUGAGAGGAUGACCAGCCACACUGGAACUGAGACACGGUCCAGACUCCUACGGGAGGCAGCAGUGGGGAAUAUUGCACAAUGGGCGCAAGCCUGAUGCAGCCAUGCCGCGUGUAUGAAGAAGGCCUUCGGGUUGUAAAGUACUUUCAGCGGGGAGGAAGGCGAUAAGGUUAAUAACCUUGUCGAUUGACGUUNCCCGCAGAAGAAGCACCGGCUAACUCCGUGCCAGCAGCCGCGGUAAUACGGAGGGUGCGAGCGUUAAUCGGAAUUACUGGGCGUAAAGCGCACGCA
rnacentral:rRNA from 1 species